rnacentral:rRNA from 1 species
AAUCAACGCUGGCGGCGUGCCUCAGACAUGCAAGUCGAACGAGAAAGUUUCCUUCGGGGAAUGAGUAAAGUGGCGCACGGGUGAGUAACACGUAGGUAAUCUACCUUCGGGUGGGGAAUAACCCAGGGAAACUUGGGCUAACACCGCAUAAUGCAGCGGCACCACAUGGUGACAGUUGUUAAAGCGGGGGAUUUUAGGACCUCGCGCCUGAAGAGGAGCCUGCGGCGGAUUAGCUAGUUGGAAGGUAACGGCUUACCAAGGCGACGAUCCGUAACCGGCCUGAGAGGGCGGUCGGUCACACUGACACUGACAUACGGGUCAGACUCCUACGGGAGGCAGCAGUCGGGAAUUUUGGGCAAUGGGCGAAAGCCUGACCCAGCAACGCCGCGUGAAGGAUGAAAUCCCUCGGGAUGUAAACUUCGCAAAGUCAAAGGAAGAAUAGAU